rnacentral:rRNA from 1 species
GUGGGGAAUCUUGCGCAAUGGGCGAAAGCCUGACGCAGCCAUGUCGCGUGAAUGAUGAAGGUCUUAGGAUUGUAAAAUUCUUUCACCGGGGACGAUAAUGACGGUACCCGGAGAAGAAGCUCCGGCUAACUUCGUGCCAGCAGCCGCGGUAAUACGAAGGGGGCUAGCGUUGCCCGGAAUUACUGGGCGUAAAGGGCGCGUAGGCGGACAGCUUAGUCAGAGGUGAAAGCCCAGGGCUCAACCUUGGAAUUGCCUUUGAUACUGGCUGUCUUGAGUUUGGGAGAGGUGAGUGGAACUCCGAGUGUAGAGGUGAAAUUCGUAGAUAUUCGGAAGAACACCAGUGGCGAAGGCGACUCACUGGCCCAAUACUGACGCUGAGGCGCGAAAGCGUGGGGAGCAAACAGGAUUAGAUACCCUGGUAGUCC